rnacentral:misc_RNA from 1 species
CGCUGAUAGAUCUCAAAAUGUUGCAAGGGCAGUAGGAGCAGUAGAAGUUAAACAGAUUUACCGCUGUAUCCAGCUUUCAGUCCAACACAUAUUUGAUUUCUUAAAUAAAAAGAUUGGAGGGAACUCUUUAAGGGAGUUCCUAUUUGGCCAAGUUGUAGCCUCCAAGCUAGCUGGCGCUGGUACUGCAAAAUCUGGAAAAAAGGAGGUGCAAUCUGUUGCACUUUCAAAAGGAAAUAAGAAAACUGUACAUGUUGAUUCUAUCUUGACAAAAAGCAGGACAUCUGUGAAAAGUCCGAGAGGGAUGGCACAAGGAAAGCAUAAACUUCUGGGGCCAACUGACUCCUCCUUGACAAAAAGAAGUCGAACAGAUGAUUGGUUGGGUGGCACUUUCUCUGAGUUGUCAAGAAGGCAGCCAGGAGAACAGCCUAUGCCUUACUACUUGACGAAUAGUUGGGGACCAAUGUCAAUGAUCUCAAGAGAAGCCAUGUACAAUAGGCCUCAACCUGUUCCGUUUGAACCUACCUAUGGAAGGAUGAGAUUCGCAGAACAUUCUGGAGACCCAAAUCUGAUUGCUCCAGCUGUUCCUCAUAUGUUUCCGUCCAGGCACCCUAUAGGUAGUCAAAUUUCUUAUGAGCCUCUGAGACAUCCUGUUGGUUAUCUUAAUUCAGUUUUUGAUUCUAGGCAAUCCUCAGCAUAUAUUUUGCCCCCUCAUUCUAGGCGGUUUUGAUGUGUAAGGUUAAACCUAAUGAUUCCCCAUCAAUG